CACUUACCAAAUCCUGGCAGCGAAACAGGAGUGGGUUUCGAGCAUCCACUAUCUGGACCACAACAUCACUGAAACACAAGCAGACAAUCAAUCCAGUCUCUGUGGAGGCAAAGGACCAUGGCCCGCGUCCUGAAGGCAGAGCACACAUAAGCACCCGCUGUGUGCCCACCACUUUGGGCACAGGUGUUCUCUGUUUGUACGUGUGCAAGCGGACCCUUACAGCAGCGUGUGACCGCAUCAGCUAAGAGUGCUGGAGCCCAAAAAGCAAUCCUGGCCUCCUGGACAGACAUCCUGCUCUGCGGCUCCAAUGCUACCUCAAGGGGUUCAUGUGGCAUUCCAUGCUAAACCCCUGCUGUGACUUCCAUGAACCUCCUGGAAUGACAAGAGAGGAUUCAAGUCCUGCUUUCCCAGGUGACGUCUACUAAAAUCCAGCUCCUUAUUUGUGCUGGUAUUCAGGCCUCAAAAGAGCAGUAAUAAAGCUCUUUCUGCCAGCUGCUACUAAGAAGCCAAUAUCCCAUUUGAACUUAGAACUGCUCACGAAGACGGUCUGUAGCCAGCCAGCAAUCACCCAACAGUUUCCAGAAUGUAUCUCAUGGCAGAAAUGUAAAACCACCCACUACCAGUGCCAGCUGGCACAGGGAAGCAGGGAUGAGUCCAACUUCUCCCACUGUGUGAUGAGAAAGCCCGAGGCUCACAGCCUGCCCUUUGGGGAGGGGUUAACUUCAAUGGGAGGCUCCACUCUCCCUGUGGCCUCUGCAGCUAAGGAUACACUAUGAGGCCAGCUGUGACCACUCUGCAGUGCUGUCACCACCUCAAAGCAGGUUCCACAAAUUCUAGGCUGGCCAGCGGCCUUUUCUCAGGUAACCCUGCAACUCUACCAGGCCCUGCGGGAGCAGCUCUAUCCUGAAGGGCAGGGCUCCUCAAGACAACGCCAAUCGACCUGCUUUAGAAGAGUUAAAUCCUAGCACAAUCUCGGAUUUAAAGGACUGACAGGCGUGGGAAUUUGGAGACUGCUAUGCUUUCUAGUUACACUGGCCCCACUACUGCUUCCUUUAAGGUACUCAUCUCACUUCCACAUGGAAUUAAUUUGGAUGAUGAGUUAAAAUCACAAGCCCCACAGACAUGCAAGAGGAACAAACAGCUUUAAGACACCAGCAAGAAAGGAAGCUGCCUUGGGCCAGGCUGCUCCCAGCGCGAGGCCAGGGUGAAGCCAGCUGUCUCGCCGGGACAGCCAGGACAGCGCUCUGCGCUCAGAGCUGGCGGGUGCCUCGUCCUGCUGCGCGUGCGCAGCAAACACCCUGAAAGACACUGCUGGGAUUAAUGGGCCAGUGGCCCAGCCAGCAGUGAGCAAAGAGGAGACAUCUUCGACAGAGGAGACAGCAGUAAACAUUUCCUGUGAGAGCCGCAGUGGCUGUCACUCCCGAGUAUAUCUCUGUGUAUCCCUGCGGUAGGAACUACGGCCCACCCUAAGUCAGCGCUCUUCUGUCACAGAAACCGUCUGUUAUGGAUUAAAAACUGGUGGUCAACUUAACAUCAGCGGAAUUGAGUCACCAUGCUGCUGAGCGUAGAUGUUCCACCUGAGGGAGCUGCGAGCAUAAAAAGAGGUGCAGAGAAGGAGAAGCUAGGCAUUGAUGCUUUGAAGUGUUGAGGCAUUGUGGGUUCUCCUGUGUGUUGCUGUUUGAGCUGUUAAGAUUCUCUGGAGAAGCUCUGGUCCUCACAUUGAGCAUUGCUUCCUCACUCCGGAGGGGAAGACGUGUGCCGCCUGGUCUCCAGGACAAACUCCUCAUGCUGGCUUCCUGGCAUGUACCCAACUGUGCUCGUUGGAGGAGGAGCUCGGGGCCUCCAUGUCGCCGAGGAUGGCUGUGGUGCCUUUCAGGACAGCCCUAGUCUUUGCUGUGCGUGUGACUUCUCUGGCUCCAGAGUAGAACCCUCAACCUACCAGCACAGCUCCUUCACCCGGCUGGCAUGGACUUUCUGCCUUCCACCGCUGACCUUUGGGCCUUCCUGGCACAGAUCCAUAAGAGAGACUGGUGUGAGUCCAUCUGUGGGCUCUGGACCUCCAGUUGGACUCAUGGAAGGCAUUGUAAUGGGCUCUGGGUUUUCAUCUGGACUUGUGAGACAUUGCUGUGGGAUCGAGGCCCUGGCUAAAUAUUCUAUGUCUUUAGUGUUGUGGAUAGAUUUCCUGCACUUUCUUGUGUUAACUCUGGGUGCCCAUCAUAAAACAGUAUUAUAAACUCCAUGUCCUGAUUCUAAUUGUUCUCUGCACAAUCCCUGACUAUAACAUUGUCUACUCGCUUCUUUUUUUUUAUUUGGCAGGUGAGUUGUUACACACUCCUUAGCGGAUUCUGACUUC